CUGAAUUGGGAACAUCUUACUGAGAUGAGGAGAGGGGAAGAAGGUUGGUAAAUGCACCUCUGAAGCUCUGCUCUAUGGCAAAAGGAAUAAUGUUGCCAAGACCCACUUACAUCCCCUAUUGUUACAAGUGGCACCUGUACUAGGGUGGAAGAAUAGGAAAGUGGCUUAGCCCCUGAAACCAUAGUCAACAAUAUCCCUUUCACUAACUUUUUAUCUUGCAAUGUUAGGUAAGAGGGACAUAAGGAGGUGGUGAGAAAGCCCUUUUCCUGCAUUUAUUCCUCUGAGCUUGCCUUUUUUUUUUCCUCUUUGCUUUUCUGCCAAUGGGCACCAGAGCAUCUCUGUUGUCCACUUACUAAGAAGGCAGAAGGUAUAGGAAUGCAAGAUGGCAAAGAUUCCUUCUCUAUCCCUGAAAAAUUAGCCUGCCCCAACUUCACUAGGUCCCCUAUCUCCUCCCAGAGCAAUCUUCAAGCCCCGGUUUAGGCUAGUGGAUUAGCAUUAACCAAUAGUACAAUCAAUGUCAAAAGUCUGUGGUUAAUAGCUUGUAAAUAGAAAGUUUCAGUGAAAAUGUGAGACUGAAACCCAGGAGCCCCUCCAUAGCAAGCCAGAAGCAACUGGCAUUGACAUGGCAGGAUGUGGGCUCAAGAUUUAGUUGGGGGAAUGGAGGGAAGUUUGUUCUGUAAUAAGCAGGAUGGUUUAGCACCAACCAGGGUUGGGUAGAAAACAGAAUAGGGAAAUUGCUUCUGUUGGCCCUCCCUAUACAUUUGUCUACAAAACUGUCUCCUCUUUGUAAUGUCUUUCAGCACAUCCAAAGUGUGGGGGAAAUGUAAAAUUUAAAAAAAAAAAAAAAAAAGCCAGGCUUCUGCCCCUCAGAAAUGCCUCCAUUUCCAUAAGGGGAGAGCCUUGCCUGACACUCUCAAUCAGAAAAUAGGACUGGACAACUCAACUUGCUUUUGUCAAGGCAAAAAGACAAAAAAAAAAACUCAAUUUCUGACAAAUUCGAAGGGAAAAAAAAUAUCUCGAGUACCCAGAAUACCGCCUAAAACUGCUCACUGCAAAUGUAUAUGUAUAUAAUGUAGGUACUGCUCGAUGCUACAAAUCAAGUUGGAGAAAAGCAACAUCUCUGUACAGAAACAGAACGCUUCUUCUUUUCCUUUCUCUCCUUUUUCUUUCCAUUCGAAUUCUUUUUUUUUCUUUUGCAUGUUUCUUUUGACAAUGGACAAAAUGUGUAGCAGCCUGCAUGAUGGUGGUUGUUUUUGGGCAAGGCGACUGGUGUACGAUGCAUUCACACUGUAGCGCCAAGCAUUGCGCAGUUCAACAAAAGGUCCAACUUUUUUUGUAAUCGUCAACAGCACAACUCUUUUGUAUUGUUGUUUGUACCAUUUUGUACCAAAAAAAAAAAAAAGAGGAAAAAAAAGGGAAGAGAGUCAAUGUUUUCAAUGUGUUUUUAGUGCCACUGCGAUCUUGGUUCAAAACUAAGUGACAGCUUUGCGGAUUUCUUGUGUAUGGGAGCAGAGCUGGGUCGUUGGCGCGUUGCUCCAGUAUAAUAAAUAAAGUCCCCCUUUUAAAAA
ensembl:lncRNA